rnacentral:misc_RNA from 1 species
GUGAAUCAUCAAAUUUUUGAACGCAAAUUGCACUCUCCUCGGAGAGUAUGCCUGUUUGAGGGUCAGCCUAUAAAAAAUCUACAUCGUUGCUGUUGCGCGGGGGGGUUCGUCGGAAAUUGGGUCAUCUUAAAUCCUUUUGGUUUUUAAGCGACUUAAAAUUUUCUUGUUGGUUCGAUGAACGUUUCUAAGAUUUAUUUCUUUACACGUUUAAGGUAUCGAUUUUUAUUAGACUUGACCAUCAUAUCGGAUCGCGUCCAUAAUCUUUCAUUAACUGACCUCAGACGGGUAAGAGUAC